rnacentral:rRNA from 1 species
GUAUCUACAUCGCAGACCAAACGUUUUGAGCGAUGAUAGUGGGUGCGAUGUUUUUAUAAGUGGUUGUGGGAUAGGUCUAGGGGAAAUGGGGGCGGAGGGAAGGUAGAGGAGAGAAGAGAGUUGGGUGAGCGGCAGCCGGGACUACUUGUCGUCGCCUCCCCGGUACCGCUGCUUGCUUGCUGGUCGGCGCAGGCAGCUGGGGAUGCAGCUCGAGCGGACGAGCGCGCCGGGGAGAGGGGGAAGGCAGAGGGGGCUCGGGGGCGGAAUGAGAAGAGAUGACCCUGCACCACAAGAGCGCGAGCCGCACCCCCGGACGCCGUGACUGCGGUAGCUGCUGUUCCUCGAGGUGGAGCACGUAGUGUUCCUGCCGGUCGCGGUGUAGUUCCCGACACUUGGACACUACGUAGCCACCUGCUUAGACCAAAUGCUCUUUCUCUGUAUACGCUCGCUAAACAAAAGAAGAAAGUCCCACGGAGGAUGUCUAUGUUCAUGUACGAGUCCAGUCCAUAUAUACAAACAAAGAAACAGGUGGCCAAUCUGAUUUUGAAGAAAAUCAUCCCAUUUAGAUUAUAAAGCACCAUUGACAGGUCUCUUUUUUUACCUACCUCACUCAACUCAACGUUAAGGAUGUUUCAUUUAUUAUUUUUAAGAUUAUUUCAUAACCAAAUUGAUUUUGUAAGUCUUAAGGAAAACCCUAAGAAACCUAGGUUUAGGAUUGGUCAGGUAAACCAAUUGUGUUUACCUAAUGACUUUACUUAUACGUUUUUUUUAGUCUCUACUACUGGAACCCUAACUGUUACGUAACAGUAGUUUAUCUGUGACGCCGGUGAUAGCAUCUCCCACCUUUCCUCCUAUUCGCUGUGGUUACCCUACGGUACAAACUUAUCUCUUGUACCUUAACACACCCCUCUCCCAAUAGGAAAUUGGUAAUUCGGUACGAACAAUCCGAUCCCCAUACAUCAUAAAAAAAGAGGGCAACGUUGCGUGCCCCGAAAAACGAUCAUAUUGAAAUUGUUGAUGUUAGAACUCUUAAAAAAGGUAAGAAAAAAUCGGGUACGGAAGGUGAUUAAAAGACGUGUUGCUUCUAUAUCCGAUGUGUGGAGGUGUAAUAAAGAGAGAGUUUUUUUAUUGGAGGUGUACUAACGGUGAAGUUUGAGGUUUCCUAAAGGUCGGUGUUGAGUGCACACCAGUCCUUCUGUUCAGUUCAGUUCACCUCGUAAUCCAUGUGCGAGACGACACAUUUGUGUGUGUGUGUGUGUGUGUGUUUCUAUGAAGUUAGGUGAGGAAAUAAGAACGAUCCUCAGAGCGGCGAGACGGAGCGUGCCAUUGGCCUCAAACCAGCUGCUGUUCUGAGACCAUUGAUGCUUGGGAAGGUAGAGGGGAUAGUACGAAAGAGGCCAACAGGUACCUCGACAACGAACGACUUAAAUCCGAAACAAAAAAAAGCUACUUCCCGAGAAUUAAAUCCGAAUCAACCUUAUUAAGGAACGUUAUGAUGAUAAAAAUUAACAGUCACGGAAGCUACUAGGUACGAGGUAGACGUGUGUAUAAAUAAUACGCACAAAUAUAAGAGUUUUUUUCUACCGCACACAAAUAGACAAUUGGCAUAGCGAAUCGAUUCUAGCAUUGUUCUAUAACCAUCAACAUGCGAAAGAUUUUUCCUUGUAUAAAAGGAGUGUUUUGAUUCUCUGCUAGUUGAAAUCCUUAACGUUGAAAUAUCUGUCAUAAUUAGAUCUGACCAUAGAACCAUUGGUACACGCAAGUACAUGGUAAAUCAAACAUAUCGGUCACUCCUUAAUUCGUAUAUAAAAGCCGUACUCGAGAAAAUUUAACGAUCUACUCUUCCUUAGAAUUGAAUUAACCAGAACACUUAACAUUAUAUGAUAAACCAACUUGACCACUAUAAAAGUAUGAUUGUUCAAAAGUGUAAGGGCUACACCUGCGCCCCAACUAACUGCGCCUGAUCGCGCCGGGCCACCCGCGAUACGAGAAGUUGGGCCACUUCGGGCCUUCGGUGCAGCGUGUCUACUAGCAGGUCCACUAGUACUGUGGUUUCCAACGGCUCCACCUCCUGGAGCUACGGCCCCCCCCCCCCUAAACCCAGGUGGCCGUAGACUUGAAGCUCGGAACCAUCUAUGUAGAUCUCUUCUCCAAACAAAUCCAACCACCACUUGUGAUCCCUUCCAUGGGUACAAAGCUACUACCAACACACGCAUACUAAAAUUUACCUGAGAACACUAGAGAAGAUCAACUCUACCAAGAUACUGGAAUCAAAUAGAACGUGACCUACACAGAGACUAAAGGUAGGUACUUAUACCGUAGAUUAAAAAAAAUUAAGGAUUAAUCGAUCAUCAUCGCGCCCCCUUUUCCACGUACGAUGAUCAGGAUUAAUCGAUCAUCAUCGCACCCUCUUUUUACGUGCGAUGAUCAUGAAUCCUAUCAUUCAUCGCACCCAAUAUUUUUUCGCGAUGACGAUAGAAGUCAAUGGUCAUCGCGACCCUUUUUGUUCGCGAUGACGAUUUUUUAUCAACAUCGCAAGAUCAUCAUCGCGCAGAUGGUCGCGAUGACCAUCUUUUUUUGGUUGCGAUGACCAUUCGUAAAAGGAUCAUCACACCCCUUCCUGUUCUGCCGCCGAGACCUCGCGCGCUUCUUCCACUGCCGUUUCUGCUUCCCCUUCUUCUGUUCGGCCCCUCCCAGCAGCAGCUCUUGACCGGACGGCGGGCCGAUCUAGGUCCCGCUGACCUAAACCAGUUACUAGGUCGUCCUUCUAGACUCCUAGACCAACUCCCCCCUAACUAAGGGGUGCCAAGAAUCGCCGAAAGCCUCCUGCUCUGGCUAGGCGCCGGCGUCCUCCCACUGACACAGGAACGCUGGGUGUAGUUGGCGUCAAAGAGAAACGGGGGGGGGGGUUUAGGAAAGAAGGUUCCAAAAGACUUGAAAAAACCUCGGGUUGAAGUAGUGAAAAGAGGGUUGCGGUAGUGUAUGGAACGAUGUAUGCACAGGUACGCACACUUGAAAGACCCGAUAGCUGACGUGAUCCCAGAGAAGUUUGUGUAAAAGUGAACAGCAAGAGUCAGACGUUUUUUCCGAUUGGACUCACUACUCUCCUGUGUACACUAGGUCUACACACCUCCAGAUCCCUAGAUCUACUCCUCAUUUUCAUGAAAGGGACGACAUCAAGAAAGACAAAGUCAGUCUCCCACCGUCAGCUGGACCAAGAUGACAUUCCUGGUUGGCUGGGGACCAGUCAGCUGACCGGAAGAGGGCAAAAGGUAUCUCGCUCAUUUCUUCGGAAGAGGGAACUUUCACUGAGGUCGACUCUUUCACCUCCACUUGUACAACCAACUCGCUCAUCAGGUUGAACAGGCGCUGCCACACUGACCGCACCUGAACAAUCUCCACAAAGAAUCAGCUGCGUAGGUCGGUGAGGUUGGGCACUAGUAGGUUACACCUACAUGAGCCCAUAACCACUGUUGUGAGCCCAGGUGGGCCUCCUUCAACUGUUCCUCUGCCACCACGUCACCAACGUCCCGUAGUGAUCGUUGUUCCUGUUGGGGUCCCCCAGAUCCUCCUAAGGAGGUGAGCUGUUGUGGUUGCUUGGUCUGUUCUAGAUGUGAUUCUACAUAAGCUACGGGUUGCCUCUCGUCCUCGUCCUCCCUCUCCGCUCGCCCCCACUGUCACCACUGACUUUAAGACUGCCUCCUGCUCUGUUCCUCUCACUUCUGAGCUCGUCACCACACCUCCAGCUGAGAGGUGGAGCGUGCCUUCCUCGAGGUUCGUCUCCAUCCUGGGUCGUUCACAAGCACCGUUUCGAUGAGGUGGCUGGCCUGUCUGGAAUUUCGCGUGACCUUGUAGAAGAGGACACGACUGAUUCUUUCGAGGCUUCGUCGGGUUUCUGCGUAGCAGUUUCGGAGCCUUCCGGAAAGGGUUCUAAUUUCACCUAUAGGGGUAGCGAAGACCACGACGAUGGAGACCCUGAAGAUAAAUGGUUCUACUACUACUGCUCCUCUACCUUCUGCAUCAGUGGAGGUUGCGCCGAGGCGGGUUACAAUAACUUGAAGGUCUACUGCUGCUUCUACACGGCGUCUCUGGAUAACCUUCCUCCCCGCCCUGAAGUUCGUCCUUCCGUGGCCGAUCGUUUUGCAGGGUCAGUUGCGGCCGCUGCCUUGGUCACUAAAUCGUCAGGUCUCUGGAGUUGACCCAAAGACAUUGAAAACAGCAAGGUCAUAGCUCACUUGCAGGAACUAGUAGUUGACGUGUUCAGGGAUAAAGCAGACAUCUUGUGGUGCGGAGCUUAGCAGUUCAACAGCGCUGAGAAGGUGGCAGAGGCGACAAACAGUGGGUAGCGCAAAGCCUCCUAAUCCGUUCGCAACUAUUCCUUCGGUAUGCGGUUCGUCCGGACUACUACCUCGCCUACUUAUGCCACGUACUCUGGUCGGUUCAACGGAUACUACGGUCACGUCGAGAGGUUCGGUUACAGGUCUUUAGGACACUCGAGUAUAGGGUUAAACGACUUAAACUCUCUUUCGUCUAGGUCGAGUUAGAACUGAACCUCAACCGGUUCUUCUUGAACGUCUUCCGGUUUCUGCUUUGUUGACCAUACCUUCUCUUUUACUCCGUCCGAGACCGUAUCUUCCUGGAACUAGAACGGCGUCGUGUCCUCCGAGACCUCUUUUGUUGUGAGCGACUAUUCUUCGACCGAAGUUAGCCCCGCGAUCUCCUUCUGUUGCAGUUCGACUUCUGACGAGAACGGCUUCGAUUAUCUCUUCACUGGGUAAACUUCUUCCUGUUUCAUCGGAACUUGCUUUUCUAACUUAAGUAAAGAGCCUUCUCUUUACUGGACCUCCGAAUAGACCCGCCUGAGCGGUUCUUCAAUAAGGAAUACGAACUUCUUAAGACAGUUUUGAAACUCCUUCUUUGACUCGCUUAGCUCUGUUAGAACCUGGGGCAGUUAAGGGAACAAUUCCUACUUCGACAGUACUUGCACGAAGCUGACCUUAGGGCAGAACGGUUGGAAUAUCUGAUGGAACAAGCUGACUUCCAACGCCACGGCGCCUAACUGUGCUGCGAAAAGGUUUCCUCUGCGAGGUUUUACUGGAGCUCAGAAACUACUGAGCUGAGUUACUCUAGGGACCAGCUCACGUCCUUACCUUCUUUAGCAGAUGAGCCACGCCACAACUGCAUCGAGACAAGGAACAAGCACAGGUAACGUUACUCCGGUUUCUUCUCUUCAAUCGUCGCUAGUUCCAACGGUUGUGGUUCUCUGAACUGAAGAUCAGAAAAUACCUCUGGAAGUAACGACGACGAUGAGCUUAACGUCUACCUUAACUGGACCUAAUCAAGCAGUUCGGACGGUCAGGAGGAGGGCACCUCACUUGUUUGAAAAAUGUUAGGCUAAUUUAAACGGAGCCAUACUGCUCACCAAAACAUUGGCAAUUUGAGGAAGCCCGGACUACGCGCUCAUAAAAAUAGACGCCAAGAUUUGAAACUCUAAAU